GACGAACGCUGGCGGCGUGCUUAACACAUGCAAGUCGAACGGAAAGGCCCUGCUUUUGUGUGUUGCUCGAGUGGCGAACGGGUGAGUAACACGUGAGUAACCUGCCCUUGACUUUGGGAUAACUUCAGGAAACUUGGGCUAAUACCGGAUAGGAGCUCCUGCUGCAUGGUGGGGGUUGGAAAGUUUCGGCGGUUGGGGAUGGACUCGCGGCUUAUCAGCUUGUUGGUGGGGUAGUGGCUUACCAAGGGUUUGACGGGUAGGCGGCCUGAGAGGGUGACGGGCAAAAUUGGGACUGAGAUACGGCCAAGAAGGCUACGGGAGGCAGCAGUGGGGAAUAGUGCACAAUGGGCGGAAGCCUGAUGCAGCAACGCCGCGUGCGGGAUGACGGCCUUCGGGUUGUAAACCGAUUUAGCAUGUGACGAAGCGUGAGUGACGGUAAUGGGUAAAGAAGCACCGGCUAACUACGUG
rnacentral:rRNA from 1 species